GAGUCCAGAGCUUUCGGAGCUCGGCGUACCGCUCAGUAACACGUGGGUCACUUAACCUAUGCAGGGGAAUAACCUCGGGAAACUGAGUAUAAUGCCCCAUAGUCCACUACGCCUGGAACGGUGAGUGGAUCAAAGCUCAGGCGGCAUAGGAUGGGCCUGCGGCGUAUCAGGUUGUAGGGGGUGUAAAGUACCCUCUAGCCAUCUACGCGUACGGGUGUUGGGAGACAUAGCCCGGAGAUGGAUUCUGAGACACGAAUCCAGACCCUACGGGGUGCAGCAGGCGCGAAAACUUGACAAUGCGAGCAAUCGUGAUCAGGGAACUCCAAGUGGCUGGGGUAAGACCCAGUCUUUUCAUAACUCUUCAAAGGUUGUAGAAUAAGGGGUGGGUAAGGACGGUGCCAGCCGCCGCGGUAAUACCGGCGCCUCAAGUGGUAGUCGCUUUUAUUGGGCCUAAAACGUCCGUGGCCGGUUUGGUACAUUCGUGGGUAAAUCAACUCGCUCAACGAGUUGAAUUCUGCGAGGACGGCCAGACUUGGGACCGGGAGAGGUGUGGGGUACUCUCAGGGUAGGGGUAAAAUCCUGUCAUCCUGAGAGGACCACCUGUUG
rnacentral:rRNA from 1 species